CCCAUCUGUACACUGCUUUACUUUGCUACUUGAUUUCUGCAAUGCGAUUCUUAGUUCCUCAGGGUAACCACAACAAGCCAACCAAUGUAGAAUACAUGGACCAGAAUAUUACACAAUAGAAGAGGAAUAUGAAAACCGAGAAUAACUCCUUCACCAUGUAUGUGCAUCUCUUUUUCCAUGGUGGUUCCCCCAUCUAAAUAAACUUUGUUUAAAUUUCAGCUGCAUCUAAAAUACCACAAUUAUUUUGUGCAGUACUGUAUGCAUAAUCUAUUUCUUUUUCUUAGCAGGAAAGUUGGUUGCUAUCUUUGCAUUUCUUUUCUAGGAAGCACUGACUCUUUUUGUGAAGUAUUUUGCACUGAUGUACUGGCAGCCGACUUGGAUGGUUUUUCACAAUUCAGUAGAGGGCAAACAAUGUCUCACUGAAUCUUUACAAACGUCUCUCACAGUUUUAUAUAAAUACCACUGUCGUUCAUCAGACAGGCUCUGGAAGUUUGCGAGGUGGCAAUUGCAACACAUCCUUUAGGAGGUGGAGCUCUUUUUCCAGUGCAUCUGCAAACUUCUUUAAAUAAAACACCUGGUGCUUCCAAGCUAGCACGCAUGUGGUGGUACUUGGUGAUUUAUGGCAGUGUGUUUAAGUAGGCUAAAAUUUACAGCAGUACUGUAUGCAUAAUCUGUUUCUUUUUCUUAGCAGGAAAUUUAGUUGCUAUCUUUGCAUUUCUUUUCUGGGAAGCACUGACACUUUUUGUGAAGUAUUUUGCACUGAUGUACUGGCAGCCGACUUGGAUGGUUUUUCACAAUUCAGUAGAGGGCAAACAAUAUCUCUCACUGAAUCUUUACAAAUGUCUCGCACAGUUUUAUAUAAAUACCACUGUCGUUGAUCAGACAGGCAGAUUGAAGGGACUGGCUCUGGAAGUUUGCGAGGUGGCAAUUGCAACACAUCCUUUAGGAGAUGGAGCUCUCUUUCCAGUGCAUCUGCAAACUUCUUUAAAUAAAACACCUGAUGCUUCCAAGCUAGCACGCAUGUGGGGGUACUUGGUGAUUUAUGGCAGUGUGUUGAAGUAGGCUAAAAUUUACCUAAUCAUGCGUCUACUACAUACCUCUCUCCUACUUCUUUUCUCACUAACUUCGCAAUUUUUGACAUCCUGUUGUGAGCUCCCUUCAACCAUCUUUACAAGAUCAUCUAGCAACGAAACAAAGUUGCGAUAAAAUGACUGCUUAAUCAAUCCAAACCUAGAAUCUGGUGAAAACUUUGUGUGACAUGCGAUAUUGAAGUGUAGAUGGAUGUAUAAAGAAGUCAUGAAUGUAGCUGAUCACACCCAUUGAUUCUUUUGACACAUUGUGGCUUUCAUUAAUUAAAUAAUCAACCUGACGAGUUAGCCCUUCUGCGGCUUCCCCUUAACAUUUUCACAGUACUGCAAAAUAUAUUGGCCCUGAUUGAAAAGGAUCGGAUGAAAACAUCACCUGCUGGGUGAAGUUAAAUGAAUAUUGCACUACUUUCAAGACUAAAACAAUUCAAAAGGGGGUGGCCAUUACAAAUUGCAGCAAAGUGUUCAUUAAUUCUGUUCACAGCAUCAGACAGCCCAAGCAGGCUUACUUCUGCCUGUGAGAUCCAUCCUGCACCUAAGUAAGUAGACGAGGAACACUGUGAAAACUGGAAAUACUUUAAGAGACAAUGAAUGAGUUGACAAUGGAUGUGACCAGGAAAGUGAGAAACUCUGAAGAAGAGGUCAAACUAAAGAAAUGGUCAAUUACCAGAAGCUCUGACAUUCUUAGCUCAUCAGAAGGUGACAGUGCAUCUCUUCAAAGACAAGUGCAUCAUGGGAUAAUUGGCAGUUGGACUAAAUUGUUGAUAUGAUUGCAAUUUAUGGCAUCCUCUCUGUGGGCCUUCCAACCCUCUUUCUUGUGCUUAUCCUUUUGCUCUGUACAUGGGAAGAGAAAUAAAAUGAAAUUAAAUCUCUCCAAAUCAACGCCAAAAAGACAAAUAUAAUCAGAAGUUAGCAGGCUUAAAGGGCCCCCCCCCAAACAGGAUGGGUCAAGGGGUCCCCCUUACCGGCAGAGUUACGUGGGGCAGUUGAACCAAAAUUUUUUUAAAUAGGCCUUAUGAAAUGAAAGGCGUGUUCAUUGAGUUGAGUUAGAGAGUAUAGUAACAAUUGUAUUUUGGAAAAAAUCUCAUUACCCCUGGCUCUGUCAGAAGGUCCUCGCAUGGUGAUGCGCACCAAAGUUUUUCUUAUCUCACUUAGACACCCCCCCCCCAGCGCCCGUCAUACAGCUUAGCUCCGAGAAAAUAUAUCCUACAGCCGCCACUGCUUCUUAAAUCUCCCCAUGCCAAAAAGGGAAGAAGAAAAAGCAGCUAAAGAAAAUUUUAAAACUCUAAAGCUUAACACUUUUUGUGUACACUUGCAGAAUCUACCCCUGGAUGCGUCUGAAUUGAGACAUACACAUAUGCCUUAGCGCACUGGUGAUGCUCAGUCCGCAGUUCAAAAACAGACCACAAGUUUCAAAAUUUGGACUGCUAGAUAGAAAUAAUGUACUGUCAGAUUUCUUGGGAAUCAAUGAAUCCGACUAAAAAUGACCAAGACAUUUCAUUUUACAAACUUCCCCAACUGUAACGGAAACUGCAAUGAGACUGUUUCUUGAGUGUAUAUUUAAACUGAGAAUGCAUGUCUAUUGCUCUCAAAUCAUGGAGUUAAGGCUGAUGAGAAUUUUCUGAACUGAGAGAUUAUAUUAUGAUGACUUGUAUAGAUACAUGUUCCAUUAUUUUUAAUAUUAAGUACACAGAAAUGUACGUAACAUAGAAACUCACAUUAAAAAACAAAAUAUAAUGGGUUGAUGCUUGCUUCUACAGUAUUUUCAAGAAGCGGGUAGUAAAUAUUUUGAUGAGUAAUUUUUAAAAGUUCAAUUUUAGAUAAAUGGGAAACAUUUUAUGAAGUAUGAGACUUCCAUUUCAAGGCCAUAGGAAGCAGUCGGGCCAGUCAGUUUUAACUGCUUGACCAGAUUAUUACCAAUCAAAAGUUAUUGUAAUUUCUGAGCUUUCAUUCACAAAGUUGAUGCUUGAAACAUGAAGGUCUGUUUCUUUCCUCCAUAAUACACCAUAUCCACACAUACGGGAAGAUUUUAACUCAAGAAUGUUGAUAUAAUGAAAUGCAAAAAUAUGUACGUAUAAUUAUUUACAUGCCUACAACUUCUUACGGUGAAUGCCUGUGAGGUUUUUGCUAUUUAGCCCUCUAGUUUAGAUUAUUUAUGUUUUUGGCAGACACUGCAUCUUUAAGUUAUGAAGUGUCCUUGAUUAAUCUUGAUUAAUUCAGAUAAUUUUAGUACAGUACUCUCUUGAAGAUGAAUAGUUUAUUUAAUAACUUCUUAAAAAAUUUAGCAGUUCUAUUCAGUUUAAAUAUCUGUCGAUGGUAAAAAAAAAUAUGUUGGUAUUAGUUGUUUCUAAACAAGUUAUUUCAAGCCAGAAAAUAUAAUGAAUAAAAGCUAAUCCGAAGCCUAUGUGAUUUCAAUCAUGUUGCAAAAUAAAAUUAUUGAUAAUGAAAA